GGGCACGUGGUGUAAUGGUACAUAUCCGGGAGUCUCAUGAAACCGGUAACCGGAGUAGCUGGUUCGAUUCCGGCCGUGUCCA